rnacentral:rRNA from 1 species
GAUGAACGCUAGCUACAGGCUUAACACAUGCAAGUCGAGGGGAAACGAUAUUGGAAGCUUGCUUCCGAUAGGCGUCGACCGGCGCACGGGUGAGUAACGCGUAUCCAACCUGCCCAUCACUUGGGGAUAACCUUGCGAAAGUAAGACUAAUACCCAAUGAUAUCUCUAGAAGAAAUCUGAAGGAGAUUAAAGCUUUAUCGGUGAUGGAUGGGGUUGCGUCUGAUUAGCUUGUUGGCGGGGUAACGGCCCACCAAGGCGACGAUCAGUAGGGGUUCUGAGAUGAAGGUCCCCCACAUUGGAACUGAGACACUGUCCAAACUCCUACGGGAGGCAGCAGUGAGGAAUAGUGGUCAAUGGGCGAGAGCCUGAACCAGCCAAGUAGCGUGCAGGAUGACGGCCCUAUGGGUCGUAAACUGCUUUUAUAGGGGAAUAAAGUGGGAGUCGUGACUCCUUUUGCAUGUACCUUAUGAAUAAGGACCGGCUAAUUCCGUGCCAGCAGCCGCAGUAA